UAUGAGCGAUGGGGUGACGCAGUAGGGUAGUGACGCGGACUGAUGGAUGUCCGUCUAAGCAGUGAGGCUGGUGUGUAGGCAAAUCCGCACAUCGUAAGGCUGGGCUGUGAUGGGGAGCGAAAAUUGGAGUAGCGAAGGUCAUGAUCUCAGACUGCCAAGAAAAGCCUCUAGCCAGGAGAAGGUGCCCGUACCGCAAACCGACACAGGUAGGCGAGAAGAGA
rnacentral:rRNA from 1 species